UACGUAGGGGGCAAGCGUUGUCCGGAAUCAUUGGGCGUAAAGCGCGUGUAGGCGGCCCGGUAAGUCCGCUGUGAAAGUCGGGGGCUCAACCCUCGAAUGCCGGUGGAUACUGUCGGGCUCGAGUACGGAAGAGGCGAGUGGAAUUCCUGGUGUAGCGGUGAAAUGCGCAGAUAUCAGGAGGAACACCAAUUGCGAAGGCAGCUCGCUGGGACGUUACUGACGCUGAGACGCGAAAGCGUGGGGAGCAAACAGG
rnacentral:rRNA from 1 species